UGGGGAAUUUUCCGCAAUGGGCGAAAGCCUGACGCAGCAACGCCGCGUGUGUGAUGAAGGCCCUAGGGUCGUAAAGCACUGUCAGGAGGGAAGAAUUUUGACGGUACCUCCAAAGGAAGCACCGGCUAACUCCGUGCCAGCAGCCGCGGAAAUACGGAGGGUGCAAGCGAUGUUCGGAAUCAUUGGGCGUAAAGCGCGCGCAGGCGGCCUGCCAAGUCUGGUGUGAAAGCCCAGGGCUCAACCCUGGAACUGCAUUGGAAACUAGUGGGCUUGAGUCCGAGAGGGGCCUGUGGAAUUCCUGGUGUAGGGGUGAAAUCCGUAGAGAUCAGGAGGAACACCGGUGGCGAAGGCGACAGGCUGGAUCGGAACUGACGCUGAGGCGCGAAAGUGUGGGGAGCAAACAGGAUUAGAUACCCCUGUAGUCC
rnacentral:rRNA from 1 species